CCAUUGUUAUAUUUGAUUGCAAAUACGAUGCAAAUAAGUUGCAGGAAAAUCAUAUGAUUAGCAUGUGCCGGAGUUUGAUCGUGUGCCCGCCUUAUGUAUCUGUAUGUCAGUAAGUGGAGAAAUUUUUGAUUGGAUCAGAUCCACCAUUGAAUUGGUGGACCAAUCCAAUAGAAAGCAAGAUGCACAAAAGCUUCCUUCCCUCUCUUUUUUUUCUUUUUCUCUGUAUAUGUCGGUAUUCCUUCGUGGUUGGACUGGUCCGCCAGCACGGUAGAUGUAGUCUGACCAAUUAUUUCUCUUGUAAGUGGGUGCUCUAGAUAUAUAUGUGACACAAAUGAGAGACAAUCGUGCUUUGGUUGCUGAGAAAUGUUUACCAAUCAAACAUGGC
rnacentral:lncRNA from 1 species